CAUCUUGGACACUGCUGGCCAGGCAGAAUUCACAGCCAUGCGGGAGCAGUACAUGCGAGGUGGGGAAGGCUUCAUCAUCUGCUACUCCGUCACUGACCGUCAAUCAUUUCAGGAGGCUGCCAAGUUUAAAGAGCUCAUUUUUCAGGUCCGCCACACCUAUGAAAUUCCCCUGGUGCUGGUGGGUAACAAAAUUGAUCUGGAACAGUUCCGCCAGGUGAGUGCCAAUUUUAUCUGGUAGCUUCUGUCUUUUGCUCUGAGGAUGCAUAGUACAAAAUAUGGCUGCUUUCCCAGGUUCACACUGAAAAUUAUGAGAAAGAAAUUAUGCACAUGAUUUUUCUAAUAAGUCAUGGUGGUCCCAUGGUAAAUUGUGUUGGCCUCCAUAAUAUAUUUUACCACAUAUGCUAUUUUGCAGAGUGCCCUU
rnacentral:sRNA from 1 species